rnacentral:lncRNA from 1 species
AUUUUAUAUAAAUAUAUGGAUUCAUUUGGUUCUUUUUAUUCUUGCUCGAGCUGGAUGAUUAAAAAUUAUCAUGUCCAGUUCCCUCGGGGGAUGGAUAUAUAAGAAUUCACCUAUCCCAAUAACAAAAAAACCCGACUUGAAUGAUACUGUAUUAAGAGCUAAAUUGGAUAAAGGUAUGGGUCAUAAUUAUUAUGGAGAGCUCGCAUGGCCCAAUGAUCUUUUAUAUAUUUUUCUAGUAGUAAUUUUAGGUACUAUUGCAUGUAAUGUAGGCUUACCCAUUUUAGAACCAUCAAUGAUUGGUGAACUGGCAGAUCCAUUUGCAACCCCUUUGGAAAUCUUACCUGAAUGGUAUUUCUUUCCUGUAUUUCAAAUACUUCGUACAAUGUCCGAUAAAUUGUUGGGGGUUCUUUUAAUGGUUUCAGUACCUGCAGGAUUAUUAACACUACCUUUUUUAGAGAAUGUUAAUAAAUUGCAAAAUCCAUUUCGCUGUCCAGUAGCGACGACUGUCUUUUUGAUUAGUACCGCAGUCUCCCUUUGGUUGGGCAUUGGUGCAACAUUACCUAUUGAUAAAUCCCUAACUUUAGGUCUUUUUAAAAUUUUUUAUUUUUAAUUGAUUCAAUUUUGAAAUAACACGACAUAUGUAUCUAGGGAAUAGUUUCUUCAAAGCGAAUUUUCCCUAUAUACAUCUAGUCAAUUUAAUUCUGAAUUUAUUUCUAAUAUAUGAUAUAUUAAUUGUGCUAAAUAUUUCAAUCUAUUUUGACUAAAUAAGUCCAAUAGAUUUAAAACUUUUUUUUUCUAAAUCAAUUACGAAAUAUUUUUCUAAAGUGCCCAAUAACUGUUUUAUAUCUUUGCUACGAAAAUAUUCAAUUUUCAUAGGAUCUUCUUGGAUGUUAUUCAAAAGGUCCAAUAAUGUAUAUAUAUUGGACAUUUUGAGGCAAUUAUAGAUCCUGGAAGGCAAUUCUGAUUGGUCAAUAAAAAUCGAUUUCAAUGCUAUUUUUUUUUUGUUUUUUCUGAGUUUAUCCAAUUUAUCAUGAAAGGUAAAACGGGAUAAAGGAACCGUGUGUUGAUUGUCCUGUAAAUAUAUAUUGUCUUCCUCCAUAUGUAAAAAGGGAAUAAAUAAAUCAAUUAAAUUUCGGGAUGCUUCAUGAAGUGCUUCUUUCGGAGUUAAACUUCCGUUUGUCCAUAUUUCGAUAAAAAGUAUCUCUUGUUUUUCAUUUCCAUUCCCAUAAGAAUGAAUACUAUGAUUCGCGUUUCGAACAGGCAUGAAUACAGCAUCUAUAGGAUAACUUCCAUCUUGAAAGUUAUGUGGCGUUUUUAUAAGAUAUCCACGAUUUCUCUCUAUUUGUAAUCCACUAAAAAAAUCAAUUGGUUCUGUUAAACUAGCUUUAUGUUGUGUAUUAUCAACGGUUCUACAUAAGGUGGAAAGAUGAUAUAUUGAGCAGUUACAUAUCCAGAACCCUUGACACAAAUAGACGCGUCAGAAGUUCCUUAUAGAUUACUUCUCAAUACAAUUUCUUUCAAAUUCAUUAAAAUUUCAUGUACCGAUUCUUGAAUGCCCGUUAUGGUAGAAUAUUUAUGUGGAACUUUGUCAGAUUUUACACGUGUGAUACAUGUUCCUUCUAUUUCUCCAAGUAAAGCUCUUCGCAUCGCAAUGCCUAUUGUGUCGGCUUGGCCUUUCAUUAGUGGAGACAGAAUAAAGCAUCCAUAAUAAAGGCAUUUACUGUCUGUUCUUGAUUCAACACACUUCCACUGUAGUGUCCGAGUAGAUACAGUUACUUUCUCUCAAACCAUAGUACUAUUAUUUGAUUAGAUCAUCGAAUCUUUUAUUUCUCUUGGGAUUUCUUCAAUGUUCAGCUCUACACACGUCUUUUUUUUCGGAGGUCUACAACCAUUAUGUGGCAUAGGAGUUACAUCCCAUACGAAAGUUAAUAGUAUACCACUUCGACGAAUAGCUCAUAAUGAUGUAUCUCUUCCGAGACCGAGACCUUUUAUCAUGACUUCUACUCGUUGUUUAACUUGAUCCAUUACGGUACGGACAGCGUUUGCUGCUGCGGUUUGAGCAGCAAACAGUGUUCCUCUUCUCGUACCUUUGAAUCCAGAAGUACCAGCGGAGGACCAAGAAACUACUCGACCUCGUACAUCUGUAACAGUGACAAUGGUAUUAUUGAAACUUACUUGAACAUGAAUAACUCCCUUUGGUAUUCUACGUGCACCCUUACGUGAACCAAUACGUCCCAUUCCUACGCGAACUAAUUUUCAGUAUAUCUUUUUCCAUAUUUUAUCAUCUCGUAAAUAUGAGUCAGAGAUAUAUGGAUAUAUCCAUUUCAUGUCAAAAUAGAUUCUUUAUUUAUACAUCGGCUCUUCUAGCAAGUCUGAUUAUCCUUGUCUUUGUUUGUCUCGGGUUGAAACAAAUUACUAUAAUUCGUCCCCGCCUGCAGAUUAGUCGAUAUUUUUCAUAAAUUUUUUGAAUGGAAGCUCUUAUUUUCAUAUUUUUCAUUCCUUACCUUAAUUCUUAAUCUAUUUCUUGGAAGAAAAUAAGUUUUUUGAAAUUUUUCAUCUCGAAUUGUAUUCCCCCGAAAGGAAUGGUGAAGUUGAAAACCUAAUCCUUUAAAUCUUUGUUGUGUAGUCGAUAAAUUAUACGCCCUUUGGUUGAAUCAUAAGGACUUACUUCAAUUUUUACUCUAUCUCCUGGCAGUAUCCGUAUAAAACUAUGUCGGAUCUUUCUCGAAACAGAAUUGAGAAUCAGAUCUAAACGAAUCGCGAAUAGACCGUUGAGAAGCAAUUCAGUAAUUACAGAUUUAUGACUCCAUUUUGGUUCUUAAAAUUCCCUUGAGGUAUCAACUAAUGAGAAAGAUAUUAGACAACCCCCCUUUUUCUAUUUCACAAAUUUAACAAAUAGGAAGUUUCGAAUCCAAUUUUUAUAUUAUAAAGGAUUACCAGAUAUAACACAAAAUUUCUCCACCUAUUCCUUCUAGUCGAUCCUCUCGGUCUUUCAUUAUACCUCGAGAAGUAGAAAGAAUUACAAUCCUCAUUCCACCUGAAAUUCUCAGAAUUCGUUGAUAAUUAGAAUAGAUUGAUAGAAUGGUCGACUUGUUUGUUUUAAAUUUAAAAUAUUUCUAUAGGGUCUUUUCCUAUUUCUUCUAUGUUGUAGGGUUAAAACCAAAAAAUAUUUGUUUUUUUCUCGAUGUUUUCUAAUGUUGUCGAUAAAACUCUCUCGUAAAAGUAUUUGAACAAUAUUUUUGGUAAUAUUUGUAGAUGCUAUCCGAACCACCCUUUUUCGAUCCAUAUCAGCAUUUCGUAUAAAAGUUAUUAUCUCAGCAAUAAUGUCCCCCAUGAUGAACUAAAAUUAUUGGGUUCUCCAAAUUUGAUAUAAUCAAUGUGUUUUUUACUUAUUUAUUUUUGAAUAUGAUAUGAAUUAUUAAAGAUAUAUGUGUGAGACACAAUCUACUAAUUAAUCUAUUUCUUUCAAAUACCCUACAAGAAAUAGAUCACAAUUUCAUUUUAUAAUACCUCGGGAGCUAAUGAAACUAUUUUAGUAAAAUUUAAUUCUCUCAAUUCCUGGACGAUUGCAUCAAAAAUUUGAGUUCCUUUUGGAUUUCCUUCUUGAUCAAUAACAACCACAACAUUGUCAUCAUAUCGUAUUAUUAUCCCAUUGUAACGUUUGACUUCUUUACAGGUAUGCACAAUUACAACCCUGACUACUUCUGAUCUUUCUAGGGGCAUAUUUGGUACUGCUUCUUUGAUCACAACAAUAAUAACAUGACCAAUAUGAGCAUAUCGAUGAUUGCUAGCUCCUAUGAUUUGAAUACAAAUCAAUUCUCGAGCCCCGCUAUUAUCUGCUAUAUUUAAAUGGGUCUUAGGUUGAAUUAUUUUUUUAAUCCAUUAUUGAAUGCAAAGGGUGAAGAAAAAAAAGAAAUAUUUUUGUCCAAAAAAAAGAAACAUGAGGUUUUGUUUCAUAUCUAAGAGCCCUUUCUACAUUUUUGUCUAUUACAUUACGAAAUAAUGAAUUGAGUUCGUAUAGGCAUUUUGGAUGCUGCUAGUGAAAUAGCCCUUCUGGCUAUAUUUUCUGUUACUCGACCCAUUUCAUAAAGUAUUCGGCUCGGUUUAACAACAGCUACCCAAUAUUUAGGGGAUCUUUUUCCUGAACCCAUACGUGUUUCUGCAGGUCAUAGUGUAACUGGUUUGUCUGGAAAUAUACGUACCCAUAUUUUUCCACCACGACGUGCAUUUCAUGUCAUUGCUCGUCGGCCAGCUUCUAUUUGUCGAGAUGUAAUCCAAGCAGGUUCAAGUGCCUGAAGAGCAUAUUUACCGAAAGAAAUAUGAUUACCUCGAUAAGAUAUUCCCUUCAUUCUUCCUCUAUGUUGUUUACGGAAUCUGGUUCUUUUGGGGUUAUAGUUGAUGGGUGUUUCUGAAUUCCAUCUCUACUACAUAACCGGACGUGAGAGUUUCUUCUCAUCCAGCUCCUCGCGAAUAAAAGGAUUCCGAAAAAUUCAAUUUGAAUUAAGCUAGAAGAGUCAAUCUUAAGUGAAGAUAUAUAUGUAUUACAGAGUAAUGCCUUGUAUGUGGGCUUCUUUGAGAUUUCAUUAAAUCUAUUAGUAAUUUUUAUAUCUUGUUUGAAUAGAUAACUAAACUUUUUAGUUUUAUAAAUAGAAAUAUAAAAAAUUGUAUUAUUAUACCAAAUCCUUAUUUUGUUCUUUAUUGUAUUGUCCUAAAUUUUUCAAUAAAAAAAGUUUUCACGAGAAAAUAUUUACUCUUUCAAUCCCUAUUUCAUUUGUAGGGUUAACUCGUGAUUUCUCAGAUCUCAGAAUACAUGAAUUAAUCUCUAGUUUGUUCUGCCAUCCCGACCAGUGACCCAUUAAAAUUCCUUGUUCAAUAGAAUCUUUUGUAUUCACAAGUUCCGUCGAUCCCAUCACUUCUGACUUAAUGGUUAGGUCCGAAUUCUACAAUGGAGCCUAGAAUUAAAUUGGUUCUUGAGUCAAUCUUCUCAGUAUUUAUUGGCU